rnacentral:rRNA from 1 species
CCUACGGGUGGCAGCAGUGGGGAAUAUUGGACAAUGGGCGAAAGCCUGAUCCAGCCAUGCCGCGUGUGUGAAGAAGGCCUUCGGGUUGUAAAGCACUUUCAGUGGGGAAGAAAGCCUUGGGGCUAAUACCCUCGAGGAAGGACAGCACCCACAGAAUAAGCACCGGCUAACUCCGUGCCAGCAGCCGCGGUAAUACGGAGGGUGCGAGCGUUAAUCGGAAUUACUGGGCGUAAAGCGCGCGUAGGCGGUCUGAUAAGCCGGUUGUGAAAGCCCCGGGCUCAACCUGGGAACGGCAUCCGGAACUGUCAGGCUAGAGUGCAGGAGAGGAAGGUAGAAGUCCCGGUGUAGCGGUGAAAUGCGUAGAGAUCGGGCGGAAUACCAGUGGCGAAGGCGGCCUUCUGGACUGACACUGACGCUGAGGUGCGAAAGCGUGGGUAGCAAACAGGAUUAGAUACCCUAGUAGUC